rnacentral:sRNA from 1 species
GGCCUAAACCCGUCAUUCUUGGCGGGCAUGGCGUCAAAUCCGGUUAGGGAUGAAGAUCCCAUCGUUGAGGGUUCCCUAACCGGUCAUGCAGGGAAACUUGCAUGUUCUGCCCGAAAGGGCGGA